rnacentral:lncRNA from 1 species
CGCAUGGUGGACGACCCGGCCACCGACGCCGUCGUCGCGUGGGGCAGGGACAGCAACAGCUUCGUCGUCGCCGACCCUUUCGUCUUCUCGCAGACGCUCCUGCCCGCGCACUUCAAGCACUCCAACUUCUCCAGCUUCGUCCGCCAGCUCAACACCUACGUGCGUGCGCGCGCCUGCUCUUGUCAAGUGGUUUUUUCUAUCUUCUUCAUCGGUGAAGUGAACCUGACCGGGAUCGACGACGACGACCAUAACUCGUUCUCUGCAUGCAGGGCUUCCGGAAGGUGGAUCCGGACCGGUGGGAGUUCGCGCACGUGUCGUUCCUGCGCGGGCAGACGCACCUCCUGAGCCAGAUCGUCCGCCGGAGCAGCGGCGGCGGCAACGGCGGCAAGCGCAAUAAGGACGACGGCGGCGGCGGCGGCGGCGUGGACGAGGACGACG